rnacentral:lncRNA from 1 species
AAUUCAUCCAUACAUAUUUUAACAUCAAAACUAAUAUCCAAAUUCAGAGAUAAGUCAGACAACCAACAUCCAUCAAGUCACACAAACAGAAAAAACAAAGACAAAGUGUCAACAUUCAAGUUAAUAUCUCCAACAAGUAAUGUCAAUUGUCAAGAAAUAACCAAACUUAAAAAAGUGAAACAAAUUUUGCAAUUAAAGCAGUAAAAUAGUAGCAUGUUGUCCAUUCCACAAUAAUCCUUUCCAACUUUUGCUUAUGGAUUCCAAAUUUCAACUCCAAGCCCUACAUAAAAUAAACAAUUUAAGUAAUAAAAUAAUAGUGGUAAAAUCUAAAACAAAAUAUUUGAAAAGGAAUCGAAAUAUUAAAUACAAACUACGUACCUUUUCAAUUAUCACAUUCGUUUUAUAGGAAGUAGAAUCUCUUUUGCUGCCUUUAUAAUAAUAAUAAUAAUAAUAAUCAAUAAACUAAUUUUGUAUCAAUAACAUGAAUUUGAAAUAAAUUUACUUUCAUCUUCUUUUUCACUCCAUGAAGGUUCCGGCACCAAUAUCUGGCACACAUCAACAUUUCUACAGUUUCAGGAGCUAGUGAGGCUCUAUAAGAGUCGAUCACUCUUGUUCCGACGCUAAAUGUAGCCUCAGAAACAACUGUAGUAAUAGAAAUAGUAAGGGUAUCAGCUGUCAUCUUAAAUAAAAUUAGGUAUGUCAGUCUGCUAUUCUUCAACCAAUUCAAACAAUCAAAUUUAUGUCACGGUAUAUUUGAAUCAAUCUUGAUUGGACCCUUUUCCAAAUAGACAAGUAAUUCAGAUUCUUGAGGUACUCCAAUCUAAUAUUCCCUCACAUACUCAUCAAAAUCAUCUCAAACUGAGAAUCUUUUCUAUUUUUACCCUCAUGAAAUUCAUUUGCGUGCUAAUAUUCAUUGUAUAAUUCAAAGACUGCAUUUCUAAUCUUUUCAAUGUUUUGCUGAGUUUCAUUAGGUGGAAAAAGUUUAAGAAAGCAAUAUUCUAUAGUAGUCAUUUUCUGUUGGAGAUCUAAGACAGCAGCCAUAGCCAUUAAUAGAUUACAUUCUCCUCAGUACUUAUCAAAUUUGAAUUUCAUCUUUCUUGCCAUUACUCUUACAAAAUCAUCAUUAUCAUUAGCCUUACUAUCCAAAACUAGCUUUAUUCUCUUAACAUCUUGAAGAAAUAAGUUUGAAGUUAGAUAGUCGCUAACUAAAAUGAUAUUCGUAGUUGCCCAAAAUGUCUCUAAAAUGCUGCAUACUAUUUCAACUUUCUUCCAAUCUUCUUCUGAUGGACAACAAUAAUACUGUACGUCUUGUUCUCGAUAUAUUGGAAUUUUUUUUUUAAUUUGAUUGCACAAUUCAAUAUCUCGAAUGUAAAGUUCUACUGUAUCCUACAAUCAUGAAUAAGCUUUCUUCCGGGGAGUUGAAGUUGUUGCAUAAUUUCUGAAAAUAAAAUUAUUCAACUUUCUCUACGGCCCACAAAGUCAACACUUUCACGAUCAUUUUCUACUAUGUCUAGAAUCUCCCGAGAGCAUCUUGCACCAUCAAAUUUAGCACAUAAGCACAGUAUCGGACAUGAAAAAUUUUGCCACCACAAGCUAAGGGGUUACACCUAGAAAAUGUGUUAUUUAGUAACCUGAUAGCCAUAUCAUUAGUUGAGAUAUUGUUGACAAAAAUUGUAAAAAUUUUGCUCUCGAUGCCCCACUCUUUGACACAUUUGAAUAGAGCAUCCGAAAUGUCAAUACUUCUUCGAGAUGGAGGAAGAUAGACAAAAGUUCAAGACCCUCUUUUGUAACUUCCAAGAGGAAUCAAUCCAGUGCCCCGUGAUCACCAUAUACUCGAUAUUCUGGUUCUUGGACUUCUACAAAUCAGUGGUUAAACUUAUUUUCUCAAAAUUUUUCAAUUGAUUUUUUAAUAUCUUUUUCUCAACUUCAUAAAUCUUCACACAAUCAGCUCUACAAGUAUUACGAAUAUAUUUUUUCCACUCUAGCAUUACAAGUUUCUGCAUGUAGUUGAACCUGUCUUCCUCUACAAUGCUAAAUGGAUGUUCAUGCAUCAACACCCAUUUGGUAGCUACCUCUCUUAUCAUCUCCAUCUCAUACUUCCAAGAAUGUAAUGGAGGAAUAGGAAAUAUAGGUGCAUCAGCCGGUGGAAAAUUGAGCAUUGAUUGUUGAGAAGCUUGUGAUAAUUGUCUUAAAUGAAUCUUUCUCUUGACAUAACUAUUGCUGUAUUUUAUCAUGUUAGAAGUGGUUCCUGUUAUAGUCCGGACAAAUUUGAUUAGGCAGUCAAUACAUUAUGUGUUUCUUUUUCCUUUUACUACAACCUCUCGAAAGUCAUCCCAAACUUUAGACUUUCUUGCUCUUUUGCCUUCUUUAGUCUCCUUCGUGCCUUGCUGCCCACUUUCUCUGUCUCUAUCUUUUCUAUUUUCAGCUUGUUGUUCAUCGUCGCCUUGUUGAUUUAUUGAUUCAUUACCUUACUCAUUAAUAUUGUGUGAGUUUUGAGGAUCAGCUUCCAUUCUUACCAAAUCUUCUUCUGCACAAUAUGCAUUAGAAUAAUCUCUCUCUGACAUAAUUCGAUUAGAAUAAGGUUCAAGUGAGGCUGUAGGCUGACUUGAAUAUUAUAAUGAAAAAAAAUUUAGAUGACAUUUUUUCAAAUCAAAAGCUGCAAGUGGAUGAGAAAAAAAGUAAAGAUUUUACAUCUGGAAACCAAAGAUUCAAAAAGGAAACCAAACAUUCCAAAAACAAAUCAAAUCAAAUCUUCUUUGCAAUUUACAUUCAACUUGAUGGCUAAGCAUAUCAUGAGUUUGGAUCUUGGAAAGCCAGACAUUGAACAACUAAAAAAGAGUACAUAACAUUUAUGAAAGGAGUGGUAUCUGCUCCUCUGAAUUUUCUGCAUAUAGAAAAGCCUAUAACUGAAUAACUACUUUUCUAUAAUAAUGCUAGGAGCAACAAAUCUAGCAGGAAAAAUAAAAUAAACUAAAAAGGAGAACAUUGAAACAGCCCAAACUUGUAAGAUAUCCUAAUAAAUCAAACUACGGAUAUUUGAACUCAGAAAAUUGAAUAUGGUCUAUCCAAAACAAGACAAAUCAAUUUGAGACCUCAUAGAAACUAAGAAAAUAAUAUCCCCGUAGCCAAACCUUAUCCGUCCAAUAGAACUGCCACUCUUCCUUCCCCAAAAAAUAAGAAAAAAAAUCCCCAAGUCGAAAAUCAUUUCCAAUGCAAAGUCACACAAACUGAUCACCACAAAACAUCAAGAACCCGGAUGCCAAACAAGCAUGAAUCAGAGAACCCACCAACAAAUUCCCCGAAAGGAUCACAAAAGAAACAGAAAUCAAUAGAAACCCUAGCAUUCAAAGUACUUGAUAUAAAUAUAUGCUCCAGCAUAAUCCAAGAUAAGCAAAAGACUGAAAAGCAUUUGAAGCCAUGAAGUACAAAAAGGAUCAUAUCUUACUUGCUACACUUGCUUCCAAGAUCCGCACUUUCAUUAGUUGCACCUGCUGCGCAAUCCACUUCCAAUCGGCAGAUGAUGACAAUAGAAAAAUGAAAUGGCUGGAAUUAGCAACCCAAAUGGGUUUGAUUUGAAAUUGGAAUUAGGAACUGAGAUGAGGAAUUGGGAUU